rnacentral:rRNA from 1 species
AUCCUGGCUCAGAAUGAACGUUGGCGGCGUGGAUUAGGCAUGCAAGUCGAGGGAGAACCCGCAAGGGGGACACCGGCGAACGGGGUAGGAUCAUCUCGGUGACGUACCCUCCGGACGGGGAUAGCCACGGGAAACUGUGGGUAAUACCCGAUGACCUGGCAGGCGAUUAGGGCUUGUCAGCAAAGGUGAGAUUCCACCGGAGGAGCGGCUGAGACGCUAUUAGCUUGUUGGUGAGGUAAUGGCUUACCAAGGCGACGAUGGCUAGGGGGUGUGAGAGCAUGGCCCCCACACUGGCACUGAGACACUGGCCAGACACCUACGGGUGGCUGCAGUCGAGAAUCUUCGGCAAUGGGCGCAAGCCUGACCGAGCGACGCCGCGUGCGGGAUGAAGGUCUUCGGAUUGUAAACCGCUGUCGGAGGGGAUGAAGUGUAUGGGAG